GAAUAUGAUGGUUAAAUGAGUGCUUAGCAAUGCUGAGGUAAAAGGGAAAUUAGUGAGAAGCUAAUGCAGCCCCCGCUACUGUAAGUGCAGAUGAAAUCACGAAAAUCACUGUUCAAGCGAAUGGGAAGAUGUGAAAGUAAAAAGAAGCACGAGCCAGGAAACCUGCUCGUUUAAUUAGUCACUU
rnacentral:ncRNA from 2 species